GAAAAUCUUAUCUGAUUCAGGAUCAAUUCAUCGGUUACACUCCCCUGUCACCAGUGAUUCUUUUUUGCUGACAUUCUGAAAAAGUAUAGUGUAGUCCCUGUGGCAAGAACAUGAAAGAUAAAGGGGAAACUAUAAACAGAAGAAAUUAUCAACAAAAUAAGAUUUACAGAGGUCAACAAAGCCUAAAUGGUCAGACAUCUCGAUUUUCAUGGUCAUCAUUCACAAAUCAAUACUGAACGGAAAACUUAAAGCUGAUAUUUUUCUCCAUAGUGCGACUUUUUUUAUUAAUUUAAAAUGGAACAUGUUUUUUCCUACAUUUAUUUGAAAGAGGAAAUUUCAACAUGAUGACUAUAAACAAAAAGGAGUCAUAUCAUCAGGAUCAUUGAUGCACAAGAACUUGAUCAUAUAAAUACAACAAUGUAAUUAUCAAUUGAAAGAUGGAACGACUGAACAAGAUAUUAGAAUGUUGUUGUCCAAAUAAACUUGCUUUGUCUUCUCAUUUGAAUCUCUCCAUUCAAUAAAGAUGUACAGAGGAAAAUCUUUGAAGAACAGAUUGAAAUAAUGUUUUGUCUAAGAAUUGCAGGAAUAUUCUAGUGAAUGAAAUUAUUUAUUGACUUCACUCUUAUAUAGUGGACUGAAUAAUUGUACAUAGCAAGUUGUGAAUAAAGAAAGCAAAAACUUUAACAAAAAGUGUUUAUAUUAUAAAUUUGCAAAUAUAAGCAUACUAUUAUGUACACCA